UAUGUGGCUCUUGAUGGGGACGUGUCCCCGAACAUUCCACAGGGGAAUGCACCUUGCCUCUUGGCAAAAAAUAAACAGUCAAAAAUGUGUGUGGUAGGUUAAUUUUCGAAGCACAUAGAUUUC
rnacentral:sRNA from 12 species